rnacentral:rRNA from 1 species
GUGGGGAAUAUUGGACAAUGGGCGCAAGCCUGAUCCAGCCAUGCCGCGUGAGUGAUGAAGGCCCUAGGGUUGUAAAGCUCUUUCACCGGAGAAGAUAAUGACGGUAUCCGGAGAAGAAGCCCCGGCUAACUUCGUGCCAGCAGCCGCGGUAAUACGAAGGGGGCUAGCGUUGUUCGGAAUUACUGGGCGUAAAGCGCACGUAGGCGGCUUUGUAAGUUAGAGGUGAAAGCCUGGAGCUUAACUCCAGAACUGCCUUUAAGACUGCAUCGCUUGAAUCCAGGAGAGGUGAGUGGAAUUCCGAGUGUAGAGGUGAAAUUCGUAGAUAUUCGGAAGAACACCAGUGGCGAAGGCGGCUCACUGGACUGGUAUUGACGCUGAGGUGCGAAAGCGUGGGGAGCAAACAGGAUUAGAAACCCGAGUAGUCC